UAAACAAAGCAUGUGGAAUUUUGGGAAAACGAAAAACCAAAACGGGUAACAGGGAUUUCUCGUCGGAUUGAAUCUGCGUGUAAACCUCUUAAUAUCAUAAACCAUUUUGUUAGAAUUAUUAAUGAAUUUCAUUUGGUAAAUUCAAGAAAUAGGUGGCACUCUACAUUCUUACUUUGCUCUCUUACUUUUAUUGGAUCAACUUCUCCGUAGAAGUUCAAACUUUCUAUAGUUUUAUUCAUUCACCAUCUUUAGUUGGCUUCUGAGUAAAGCCCUAAUUAUUUGAUUUCUGGAUUUAUCACAUUCCAACCCUUAUAACUUUUACAUUUUAGACUUUGGAACUAUAAUCCUACUUCUUUACCUCUACAGAUGCUUUGGAUGAAGUUCCAAAACAUCUCCUAAGGUGUGUAUUACCUAAAUUCUUUUGACUCUAAACUUCAUAAGAAUCCUAAGCCUCAUGACAAAAGGGAUGUUCCGAGGAACGUGCACUCUGAUACCAAUUGAAACGACCCACUUUCUCUAUUGAGAAAGGAGCACUAUUCUACGUAAAUAACUUGGUAAUUUUACACAACAAUAAGCGAAAACUUUAAGAUUCAAU
rnacentral:lncRNA from 1 species